CAGUAGCCGCGGUAAUACGAAGGGGGCUAGCGUUGUUCGGAAUUACUGGGCGUAAAGCGCACGUAGGCGGAUAUUUAAGUCAGGGGUGAAAUUCCAGAGCUCAACUCUGGAACUGCCUUUGAUACUGGGUAUCUUGAGUAUGGAAGAGGUGAGUGGAAUUCCGAGUGUAGAGGUGAAAUUCGUAGAUAUUCGGAGGAACACCAGUGGCGAAGGCGGCUCACUGGUCCAUUACUGACGCUGAGGUGCGAAAGCGUGGGGAGCAAACAGGAUUAGAUACCCGUGUAGUCCCUGUCUCUUAUAC
rnacentral:rRNA from 1 species